AGAAAGAGGGCAGACGCCCGAAAAACCGGUGGUGGCCCAGCAGCCACACCUCUAACAGAGGCAGAGGAGCUGGCCCUGAGCCAGAACAGGGGACGGCCAGUGGCUGAGGGAAUCCCUGGCGGGAGCUCGUCCUCUGAGGUCCCCCCCGCCCAAGACACAAGUGCCUACAUAAUAUGUAAUAUUUCUCUACCUAUAUAUUCCUCUCUUUGUAAGCCUAUUCAUACAAAUAUUUCUUUCCCUUUAAUGUAUUUUUCCUUUUGUCCCGACAGAUUCUGAUGGUGCCAUUCGCCUCCUGGAACCCCCUCAUGACGCAGCAGACCCUCCAACUGUAAGUAGGCAACACUCGAAAGCCUUUGCUGAAUGGUAGUUUAAGAAUACUGAAUCAUAUCACUCAUCUAGGACGAAGACGACGAUGAUGAG